CGGCGUUUUAGGGCAAAAACUGGGCUUUUCACCGUCAGUGUUUACAGUUUCUUUGCGUCACCUAAAGAGUUAAAGCGCAAACAAACAUUCCCCCCUCUUCGUCUUCCGCCAUUAAUCUCUCAUGCAAAGCUCUCUGAAACUUUAUUGAAGUCUUUAUUCUUCUCGUUCUUCUUCAGCCGUUUUUCCAUCCAUGGAUGCUCCUAGGAAGCGAGAAGCUCUCGAGACUCCUGCUGCUUCGCCGGCGCGGAAAUCCACCGGAGAACCUGUCCCUGUCAUCGAUCUCAGUAGCAGCAGCAGUGAUUCUGAGCGAGGGGAUAACGGGGACGCGUUUGUGGAUGUCGGAAGCGCCGGCGGAAACAGCGGCGGUGAUCGGGAUAAUUCCGGAACCGCCAGAAGAACUGCUUCCGUCGGUGCGAAGAGGGCUCUCGGGAGUUCUGUAGCUUCGACGGAGUUGGAUCGGAAGCGUGUGAAGAAGUUUUCGGCGGAUGAACUCGCGGUUGUGUUGCCGGAGGGUUUCGACCAAUCGGAAGCUCUGGCGGUUCAGGCUCUGCCUGCACCUCCGUUGGCGACCGUGACGCCGUUGGCGACCGUGACGGUCCCGUACCCAUCGCCUUCUUCCGUCGUCUCCGGUGGCGUUGGUAGUUGUAGGUCGUUUUGGAAGGCUGGGGAUUACGAAGGAGCUUCCGGCGGUGGUUGGGAACAGUCUUCAGGUAGUUUUGAUCAUGUAAGAGUUCACCCCAAGUUCUUGCAUUCUAAUGCAACCAGCCAUAAAUGGGCUCUUGGAGCUUUUGCAGAGCUUUUGGACAAUGCUUUGGAUGAGGUUGCCAGUGGAGCUACAUAUGUUAACGUAGAUAUGAUCCAAAAUAGGAAAGAUGGGAGCAGGAUGUUACUGAUUGAGGACAAUGGAGGCGGGAUGGAUCCUGACAAAAUGCGGCAAUGCAUGUCUCUGGGAUAUUCUGCAAAAAGCAAACUUGCAAAUACUAUUGGACAGUAUGGCAAUGGAUUCAAGACCAGCACAAUGCGGCUUGGAGCUGAUGUCAUAGUAUUCUCUCGUUGCCCAGGAAAGGAAGGAAAGAGCUCCACACAGAGCAUCGGAUUACUGUCAUAUACAUUUCUAAGGAGCACGGGGAAGGAGGACAUCGUUGUACCCAUGCUUGACUAUGAAAGAAGAGGGCCUGAAUGGAGCAAAAUACUUCGGUCUACCUUUAGUGAUUGGGAUAAGAACGUGGAAACAAUGAUCCAGUGGUCGCCCUUCUCUAGUGAAGAAGAUCUUUUACGUCAGUUUAAUCUAAUGAAGGAUCGUGGCACUCGGAUAAUCAUAUAUAACCUUUGGGAAGAUGACCAAGGAAUGUUAGAGCUGGAUUUUGAUGCUGAUCCACAUGAUAUCCAACUUAGAGGUGUCAACCGGGAUGAGAAGCAUAUACGAAUGGCUUCAAAAUUUCCAAACUCUAAGCACUUUCUGACAUACAAGCACUCACUAAGGAGUUAUGUAUCGAUUCUCUACCUAAGAAUUCCACCCGGGUUUCGCAUCAUUCUGCGAGGAAGAGAUGUCGAGCACCACAACAUAGUGAACGAUAUGAUGCAGACCAAACAGAUUACUUAUCGGCCAGCAUCUGAUGCUGAUGGAGUCGCCAAGGAUUCAAAUAUGUCUGCUGUUGUGACUAUUGGAUUUGUUAAGGAUGCUAAACAUCAUGUUGAUGUGCAAGGCUUCAAUGUCUACCACAAAAAUAGGCUAAUCAAGCCGUUUUGGAGGAUAUGGAAUGCAGCUGGAAGUGAUGGCCGUGGGGUUAUAGGUGUCUUGGAAGCUAAUUUCGUGGAGCCUGCUCACGAUAAGCAAGGUUUUGAGCGGACAACAGUUCUCUCGAGACUUGAGGCACGGCUUGUCCAAAUGCAGAAGAAUUAUUGGGGCACCAACUGUCACAAAAUCGGAUAUGCUCCGAGGCGAAGUAAAACGUUUAAUGCCACUGACAACAGAGAGCCAUCUCCCGAAAACGAUCCUGAUGGAUCUGCUCCAUCUAGGAAAAGGGCUGCACCUUCGACCCCGUUUUCAGCUUCAGACAAGAUCGGUCCAUGCUUAUAUCCGAAGAGCGGAGAAAAAAGAUCCGAUAAAUAUUCGAGAGGAGUAGCGGGUGUAACGCCAGAUAAAGGUGGUAAACUGGGAAAUACUCGCACUAAAUCUCAGAAAAGAGGAAGGUCUCAAGGACCUUUGCCUUCAUAUCUCGAGGACACGAGUGAUGAAGAUGACAACAGUCCUCAAAGAGAAAUCAACCAGCUUCCUAAAAAGAACUCCGAACCGUCAAAGUUUCCAUCGGGUUCACGGUCCGUGCAGCAAUUGGAGCAAGAGAAUGAUGAGUUAAGAAGCAGGCUAAAGAGAAAAGAGGAAGAGGUCGGAAAGUUGCAAGAGGAGCUGAACCGUGAGAGAGAGCGAUGCAAGGCACUCGAAACCGAGGUUGAAGAAGGAAGAAAGAAGGUGGAAGAAAUGAACAAAGAGCAAGAGAGUCUUCUCGAUAUAUUCGCUGAGGAGAGAGAGAGACGUGACCAAGAGGAAGAAGUUCUCAGAGAGAAGUUAGAGACUGCUUCCAACUCGCUUCAGGAUUUGAUGGACAAGAUAAAGAAGCUGGAGGCAACAAAGAGCCGGAAGCAUUAGCCUUAAUACAAUUCCAUUCAUCAGCCAUCAGACCUGCAUGGUCCUAUGUUUCCUCAUCGCCAUGGUUCAUGUCCCCCCUCGCCUUCUCCACAGAGCAGGAGGGGACGUGUAGGAAAAACGACAUAGCGAUAAGCCAAGAGAGCGCAGAGCCACGGCCAGAUGGGAUGCCGACGUACAGAGUGGAAAUAACGAACGGAUGCGUGACGGGCUUCAAACGUUUGGAUUACGACGACUGUCUAGUCAACGGCGGUCAACCCUUGGAAUUCGGCCACACCCUCUCCUUUCAGUACACCACCACUCGCCGUCGCCUCCGUCUCCUGCUGACUGAUUUCUUCCCCUCCGUUUAACACGAUUAUUACUAGUAUUAUUAUUAUUCAAUAAAUAGUCAUCAGCUUUAUUAUUAUUCAAUAAGCAGAUAUGAAAUCAUCGGAAUGCAGACACUUUUUUUUCUUUGUUCUCACAUAGAUAGAUAGAUACACAGAACAUCAUCACACAUUGUCUUGGUAAAAAAGACGUACCUAACCUAUACAUACAGCUUCAAGGGUUCAUCGGGACAUGACAUCAUCCAUCAAUAUAUUGAAAUU